rnacentral:lncRNA from 1 species
UUUUAAGUUUACAUUUCAUUAAUCAGUUUUUAGUUUUAAUCUUUCUUAAAUCAGGAUAUAUUAAAUUAUUUAACAUCAAAUAUCAAAUACAAUAUUAACAAUCAAUUACUAAUUAAUUACUGUCUUUUACAUGAAUAGUGGGAGAGAGAUAACUUAUCAAAAUUUAUUCUUCUUCCAUAUCCAGCAAGAAAGAAGUCAAAAUCCAUUCUUCAAUUCAAGAUUCCACAAUCGUCAAGAUAUUAGAUAUUUGAAACCUCCAUCGUUUGUAUUAUUAUUGAUUCUAUUUUCCCUAAUUCAUUCUCUCAAAUACCCUAUUUUAUAGUUCAAGGUUUUAUUGAACACUAACUAAUUACAAAUCCAAAUCAAAAAUGGUGUUAACAAAGAG